rnacentral:rRNA from 1 species
UACGUAGGGUGCAAGCGUUGUCCGGAAUUAUUGGGCGUAAAGAGCUCGUAGGCGGUUUGUCGCGUCUGCUGUGAAAACUCGGGGCUUAACUCCGGGCCUGCAGUGGGUACGGGCAGACUAGAGUGCGGUAGGGGAGACUGGAAUUCCUGGUGUAGCGGUGAAAUGCGCAGAUAUCAGGAGGAACACCGGUGGCGAAGGCAGCUCUCUGGUACGUGACUGACGCUGAGACGCGAAAGCGUGGGGGAGCAAACAGG